rnacentral:lncRNA from 1 species
GUACAUCAAGCAGUUAAUAAUUGAUGACCAGUCUCUGGACAAUCUGGGAGAAAACCACACCUUGCUGAUAAAGGAAGACAUCCCAACAGCCAAUUUGGUUUUUAGUUAAAUUUUUGCAUUCAAUUUGCAGCAUCACCAAGUCCUUAUCAAAACUGCAGAGGACGUUGAGUUGGUCAGACCUGAUACGUUUGGCCGGGCUACAGCGCCAGAUGAUGUUAUCUUUAAUCUCAACUGUGAUCCAGGGGCAACUGACAAAGACUUUUUAGCAGCAGUGCAAAAAUCUGACGACGUCACCCAAGAAGCUUUUGAUAAUUACUUGUCAUAUAUUCCAAAGAACUGGGUGCACCAGGUUGCUAUGUUGGAAUUGAGUAGGUCUGUGCUCCACUUCGCUUGUUCAGCGUUUGCUCAGAGAGAGGAUUUUGACCUUAAGGCCAAUGCACUUGGAAAAUGGGCAGAGUAGUUCACUGGCCAGAUUAUAAAUACAGUUGAAAAAAAAUGGAUAUGAAGACAUAUCUGCCCAUCGCCAGAGCCUUCAGGCCACAGGUGGUGGAGUCCCUGUAUUACGGUAGAUAUACUGUACUGCUGUAUUGUGAAAGGGUGACGGUACGUACAAGACGUACCACGCUCCCAGUGAGCGCUAGUAGUUGUUGUGUGUGAGCCAUGCUGAUGAGACAGCGGCACAUCGGUCCGCACUUUAUUGUUAACUGUUAAAUAAAUAUGCCAAGAGCCUAAAGAUAAUUCGAGUGUGUUCUACUUAUCCUCCAUACGCAGUAGAGGACUGCGCGCUGCAGUAAAUAACCCCUUAACACAAAUAAUCUGCAAAUGAACGUGAACGUGAAAAAUGGCGUACACUGAAAAAAUGGAAGAAGGAGGGUUGUUCAAUUUACAAGUAUGCAUUUUGUAUAUGCUACAUAAUUAAUUUAUAUUUCUCUCCAAAACAUGAUUAAAUCUUUAAAAAGCAUUUCAAUAUUGAGGAAUUUAAAACCUACAUGUCUCCAUCAUUUGAAGAAGAAAGGAAAAAGUUAUGUUUUAUCAGCGAAAAGGCCGCCUCCAAGGGCGGGCUCCUGGACAGGAAACGGUUGCUGAAGACCUGCAGGCUCCGCCAUUUUCUCCCUCGCUGUGAUAUUUUCUAUGGAUUUGGGCUUCUCAGGACACAUAAAGAUAUCCUCCAUCCAAGACCAAUAUUUGAUAUAAGGUAUGUCUCUGGGUGCUGUGUCAAAGGCUCUGUAGUUGUGGUGAGUAUUACUAUUCACUUGCUUUUGUUGGUUUACUGGAUGUGUUUAAACAAGAAUGAAUGGAUUUCUCAUGAUUAUGAUGAUAUUAUUUUCAAAAAUAUUGUAAUGAUAAUUGCUGUAAAUCCUACUGUCUUUAAGGGUGUAAUGUUUAUUUUUUGUUGAAACUAUUUUGGAGAAGUGUUUCUAAUAAUUAGUCUGUCAGGAUUUCACAAAAUAAUUUAACGGCACCACAAUUAAACCACAUAAAAUGGCUGUGAUUGUAAUUUUUUGUAAUUUUUUCAACAAUUACUAAACUAUAUUGCUUUAACUUUUAUGAUGGUAAGAUUUAUUGAUUUCUGGAUUAGACUGCAUUGGUUUAACAUAAGAGUGUUCCCUAAUAAACUGGCAAGAUUAUGCAUUUUUAAAUUAUGGUUAUUUAUAAUAUAUAAUUAUGGUUUUAAAUUAUGAUUUGCUCUAUUUCUGUAGGAUGUGUGUCAGUGAGUUGAACUUCCAUUUGUU